rnacentral:rRNA from 1 species
CUUUCCCUCUUUCUUCAUGCUUUACACAUGCAAGUCGGACGGCAGCACAGAGAAGCUUGCUUCUUGGGUGGCGAGUGGCGACCGGGUGAGUAAUAUAUCGGAACGUACCGAGUAAUGGGGGAUAACUAAUCGAAAGAUUAGCUACUACCGCAUAUUCUCUGAGGAGGAAAGCAGGGGACCUUCGGGCCUUGCGUUAUUCGAGCGGCCGAUAUCUGAUUAGCUAGUUGGUGGGGUAAAGGCCUACCAAGGCGACGAUCAGUAGCGGGUCUGAGAGGAUGAUCCGCCACACUGGGACUGAGACACGGCCCAGACUCCUACGGGAGGCAGCAGUGGGGAAUUUUGGACAAUGGGCGCAAGCCUGAUCCAGCCAUGCCGCGUGUCUGAAGAAGGCCUUCGGGUUGUAAAGGACUUUUGUCAGGGAAGAAAAGGCUGUUGCUAAUAUCAAUAGCUGAUGACGGUACCUGAAGAAUAAGCACCGGCUAACUACGUG